UUGCCUUAAACUAAUGAGUAAGGAAAACAAAUUGAGCGGUGGGAACUGCUCACAGCACUGAGAAAAUCUUGUGCAAGAAUUUAUGGAGGGGUUAUAGGUUGGCUGAGAGUUGAUGCUGCUUACUUUGCAGAACUCUCUUGCCCGGGCCUCCU
rfam:Picea glauca, whole genome shotgun sequence.